UACGUAGGGGGCAAGCGUUGUCCGGAUUUACUGGGCGUAAAGAGCGUGUAGGCGGCCAAACAGGUCCGUUGUGAAACUGGAAGGCUCAACCUCCAGACGUCGACGGAAACCGUAUGGCUAGAGUCCGGAAGAGGAGAGUGGAAUUCCUGGUGUAGCGGUGAAAUGCGCAGAUAUCAGGAAGAACACCAAUGGCGAAGGCAGCUCUCUGGACGGUACUGACGCUGAGACGCGGAAAGCGUGGGGAGCGAACAGG
rnacentral:rRNA from 1 species